UACAGAGGGUGCGAGCGUUAAUCGGAUUUACUGGGCGUAAAGCGUGCGCAGGCGGCUUUGCAAGACAGAUGUGAAAUCCCCGGGCUCAACCUGGGAACUGCAUUUGUGACUGCAAGGCUGGAGUACGGCAGAGGGGGAUGGAAUUCCGCGUGUAGCAGUGAAAUGCGUAGAUAUCUGGAGGAACACCGGUGGCGAAGGCGGCAUCCUGGACCGAGACUGACACUGAGGAGCGAAAGCCAGGGGAGCAAACGGG
rnacentral:rRNA from 1 species